GGGUCUACCCAUUGGUCAGGCUUAAUUGUCUGUACUGGUGAGAUGGAUCUCUACCUUCUGAGGAACUUUCAUGUCAUUUAUUUGGUGUGAUGGGAAAUCAGGACUGUUACUUUGAAAAAAUUAGAGUGUUUAAAGCAGACUAUCGUCUGAAUACAUUAGCAUGGAAUAAUGAAAUAGGACAUCCGAUUCUAUUUUGUUGGUUUCUAGGAUCGAUGUAAU
rnacentral:rRNA from 1 species